rnacentral:rRNA from 1 species
GACGAACGCUGGCGGCGUGCUUAACACAUGCAAGUCGAACGGAAAGGCCCUGCUUUUGUGGGGUGCUCGAGUGGCGAACGGGUGAGUAACACGUGAGUAACCUGCCCUUGACUUUGGGAUAACUUCAGGAAACUGGGGCUAAUACCGGAUAGGAGCUCCUGCUGCAUGGUGGGGGUUGGAAAGUUUCGGCGGUUGGGGAUGGACUCGCGGCUUAUCAGCUUGUUGGUGGGGUAGUGGCUUACCAAGGCUUUGACGGGUAGCCCGCCUGGGAGGGUGACCGGCCACAUUGGGACUGAGAGACGGACCAGCCUCCUACGGGAGGCAGCAGUGGGGAAUAUUGCACAAUGGGCGGAAGCCUGAUGCAGCAACGCCGCGUGCGGGAUGACGGCCUUCGGGUUGUAAACCGCUUUCGCCUGUGACGAAGCGUGAGUGACGGUAAUGGGUAAAGAAGCACCGGCUAACUACGUG